UCUAUUAGGAGGAAGCAUUGU
rnacentral:piRNA from 1 species